AUGUUGGGAGUACUGAGAUUACAGGCCUUUGAAGACCUCAGCAAACUAAUGAUCAAGGCUAAGGAAAUGGUGGAGUUAUCAAAAUCAAUUGCUAAUAAAAUUAAAGACAAACAAGGUGACAUCACAGAAGAUGAGACCAUCAGGUUUAAAUCCUACUUGCUGAGCAUGGGAAUAGCUAACCCAGUUACCAGAGAAACCCAGGGCUCAGGCACACAGUACCACAUGCAAUUGGCCAAACAGCUGGCUGGAAUAUUGCAGGUGCCUUUAGAGGAGCGAGGGGGAAUAAUGUCACUCACAGAGGUGUACUGCUUAGUAAACCGAGCUCGAGGAAUGGAAUUACUCUCACCAGAAGAUUUAGUGAAUGCGUGCAAGAUGCUGGAAGCACUGAAAUUACCUCUCAGGCUCCGUGUGUUUGACAGUGGCAUCAUGGUAAUUGAGCUUCAGUCUCACAAGGAAGAGGAUAUGGUGGCCUAGGCCCUGGAGACAGUUUCAGAAAAGGGAUCCCUAACAUCGGAAGAGUUUGCUAAGCUUGUGGGAAUGUCUGUCCUUCUAGCCAAAGAAAGGUUGCUGCUUGCAGAGAAGAUGGGCCAUCUUUGCCGUGAUGACUCAGUGGAAGGCCUGCGUUUUUACCCAAGUUUAUUUAUGACACAGAGCUAA